UAUUCGAAGCCUAAAAGUGAA
rnacentral:piRNA from 1 species